CAUAUACUCCCUUCAUCCGGAAAUACUUGUCGAAGGAAUGGAUGUAUUUAGACGUAUUUUAAUUUUAGAUGCAUCCAUUUAUAUCCAUUUUUGCGACAAAUAUUUCUGGACGGAGGGAGUACAUG
rfam:Triticum aestivum genome assembly, contig: Triticum_aestivum_CS42_TGACv1_scaffold_220919_3B